rnacentral:rRNA from 1 species
UACGGAGGGUGCAGGCGUUAUCCGGAUUCACUGGGUUUAAAGGGUGCGUAGGUGGGCUGGUAAGUCAGUGAUGAAAUCUCCAGGCUUAACUUGGAAACUGCCAUUGAUACUAUUAGUCUUGAAUACCGUGGAGGUCAGCGGAAUAUGUCAUGUAGCGGUGAAAUGCUUAGAUAUGACAUAGAACACCAAUUGCGAAGGCAGCUGGCUACACGAAUAUUGACACUGAUGCACGAAAGCGUGGGGAUCAAACAGG